AUUGAACGCUGGCGGUAGGCCUAACACAUGCAAGUCGAACGCGAAAGUCCUUCGGGAUGAGUAGAGUGGCGGACGGGUGAGUAACGCGUAGGAAUCUAUCCUGCAGUGGGGGAUAACGUUUCGAAAGGAACGCUAAUACCGCAUACGCCCCAAGGGGGAAAGCGGGGGAUCUUCGGACCUCGUGCUAUAGGAGGAGCCUGCGUCGGAUUAGCUAGUUGGUGAGGUAAAGGCUCACCAAGGCGACGAUCCGUAGCUGGUCGGAGAGGAUGAUCAGCCACACCGGAACUGAGACACGGUCCGGACUCCUACGGGAGGCAGCAGUGGGGAAUAUUGCGCAAUGGGCGAAAGCCUGACGCAGCCAUACCGCGUGUGUGAAGAAGGCCUUCGGGUUGUAAAGCACUUUCAGUGGGGAGGAAAAGCUGGUGGCUAAUAUCCAUCGGCCGUGACGCUACCCACAGAAGAAGCACCGGCUAAUUCCGUGCCAGCCGCCGCAGUAACAC
rnacentral:rRNA from 1 species